ACCUAACCUGGAUCAUUGCUGUGGCCCUACCUCAUCCACCUGUUUUUCUUCUCGGGCUCCUCCCCCCACACAAAGAUUCAAAGAUACGGGGCCGAUGUUCAUGUUACUCUUUGCUGAGCAAUGAUGACUGUUAUUACCGAUUCAGUUUAAUAAAGUUAUUAUUAGUUGACAAGUUCAACUUAACUAACUAUUGGAUGUUCGUUAACUAGUUGGUCGGGUUGAAAGUUUUUUGGGAUUGCGAAUAAUAUGUAAAUAACCUUUUGGCCUAGCAGUGCAAGGGAGGGGACCCGCUUUCAUCCUCUCUCUCUCCUUUGAAUUGAAAUUGGAAGGAUUCUUUACUGGGCGAAAAAUAUUAUAAUCAAUCCUCCUCCCGAUCAGCCAUUUUACAUUUUAUUUUUAUUAUUUCUCUGCUGUUUUCGAGAUGUGUUUUAUUCCUAAUCAGCCAUAAUAAGACAAGACAAGACAAAAGGGGACCGUAAAGAAGUGCAGCAGAAGAAUAAUUCCACAAAUAUCAUAUAUUAUUUGAUAAAGUUUUUUUUCUUCUUUUUUAUUAUUAUCAGGGUAUAUAAUAUACACAACAAGGGUCUCAUCCUUCAUACAAGCCAGCACUCUUCUUUUAUUCUCAUAUUUACCCACUUUUCUUUUUUGCAUAGGGGAGAGAGAGUAUUCCGUUUCCCAGGAACUAGCAUACUAGGCAAUACGAUUUGGGAAAGUAAGAGAAGAAGCAGAAGAAAAGAAGAAGAAGAAGAAGAAGAAGAAGAAGAAGAAGAAGAAGAAGAAGAAGAAGAAAAUAAAAAAUACAAAAAAUACUCGGUCCAUUUGACGCCCAGGGCGACGGAGAAGAUGCGCAAGGGGAUUCGCGCCGGCUAUGCAAGAUGCAGCAUGGGUGUGGCAGGGUGGUUUGUUGGGUGGCAGGAAAAAAAAGGGCAGACCGCAAGAUCUGGCGGGCAGGCAGCGGCUUUGUACUGCGAUCCGGAGGUGAAGAAGGGACUGUAAGGAUGAGGUGGGGGAUCAGGGGUGGCGGCUGCUGGUUGGUUGGCCAGGUUGGUUCUGGCGGGGUAGAAGUAGUACAAGUAGUACAUGUACAAGUGCUAAGUGACUGACUGCAUAAGGCACAUACAUACAUGGUAGUUGGCUAGUUCGGCCAUGGGAGGAUCGGACAAACUUUGAUCAGACUGCAGGAUGAUGGCAGAGGGAAGAGAGGAAAGUGAGGGAGUGGAUAUGUCCCGGUGGCAUUCCCAGGGCCAAUGAUUUCGAUAUGAGGAGCAAGCCGCUGGCUGCGUGGAAACUGAAACCUGAAACGCAUUGAAACGUUCGACACUCGUUCACCGUCUCUUUGUUCCAUGGUCUCUCGGUGAGGAAUGAAGAAUGGCAUUCAUUGUACGGAGC
rnacentral:sRNA from 1 species